GCAAACUUGGUCAUUUAGAGGAAGUAAAAGUCGUAACAAGGUUUCCGUAGGUGAACCUGCGGAAGGAUCAUUAGAAAAAAAAAGGAGAUCGACCUCGAAACUGUGGACGAUCAAAUCCAUACCCACCUUGUGUGCACUCAUUGACCGUUCGCUUUGGCAGGAGGUAAGUCUUCGAUCUGCGAUCGAAGCUGCGAGGAGGCCCUCUGCUCUCCCGUUCCCGGGAGAGAUCGGUGCCUCGGCCUGCCAGAGUUUUUCUUUCUUGAAUUCACGCUUCUCUUGAACCUUUUUGGACUGAACCCUCGUCUCGAUUCUUUUUUUGUAAUCGGUCGAACCAAAAUACAACUUUCAACAACGGAUCUCUUGGCUCUCGCAUCGAUGAAGAACGCAGC
rnacentral:misc_RNA from 1 species